UCUUUUCCCCUUCAACCAUUUAAAAAUGUAAAAAAACUAUUCUCAGCUUGUGGGUUUUACAAAAACAGGUGGCAGCCAGAUUUGGUAGUGGCCGGACUUUGCCACCUCCAGCCUGGAGUGUUUUGGGAAUUCCCCAUUCUGAAAUGGUCUCCAGUGUGGCUGCAGCACGUCCAUUUGACAAUCCUGACCUCGGUGGUGGCAAAUCUUCCUUGUUUCCUGGUGGAUUUAACUUUGCAGAAGGACCAGCAGACAUCCUGACCCAAACCUGAUGGAUGAGAUUGGUGUAAAGUGGAGAAAUUCUGUUUUGGAUUAAUCACAAGGAGAUUUAAAAAACGAGAGAUUUUCUGUAACCUCCUGCCCAGCUGGUAUGGCCUGAAAGCUUGUGUACUCCCAGAUUCAUAUGUUGAAAUCCUAACCCUUCAUGUGACGGUAUUUGGAGGUGGAGUUCUUGGGAGUUGCUGAACAGAAGUGAGGGAAGACGAUGCCAGUGACAGCAGAACAUUGCUGAGGGCUGCAGAAAUAUGACAGCCCCUGGGCCCCUGCACUUCCCCUCCCUGCACAGACAAGAGUAUGGUGAAGAACGGAAUGAAGUUAUAACGCUUGGGAAGUGGCCUGUGAGGCCUGAUGAGCCCAUGUUCUUUCUCUCACGUGGUAAGAAAUGACCCCGAGUGACCAGAGGGGCUCAUCAGAGCUGAUCUGAGUUCAGUAAAAGGGCUGAUGUGGAAGAUGAGGCAGAGAGUGGACCUUAGAUCUCAGAAGUGUCUGUUGGAUGAUGGAGACCUUCACAGAGAACACUUUCUCAGGAAGCGUUCCCAGCAGAGGUCUCAGCCCCUGGCUGAUUCACAGCCUGCAUUUAGAACGGAGAUUGAGUCAGAGGAGAUUCCACCUCUCCAUGCAUUCCCACAGUCCUGAAACUAGUCAGUGUUAGAACCAGAAUUCAAACUGACGGUCUGAGCCCAGAGCUCUGCUCUUCAUCUUACCCAGUAUUACAUUCAUUCCCAUAUUGACUGAAGAUUCACUUUCACUGUUAUCAUGAAAAGUAAGUUGAGAAAUUGACAUGUCAUGUAGAUGCUAUGAGGAAUCACUGGGGAGAGAUUAAGAUGUUCCUUCAAGCUUCAGAUCUUUCAGAGAGAUAAGUAGUGUGGAGUUGCACUGUUGGGAAACGAGUCUUGGCGUUCUGGCUCUUCACUUGUUCGCCUGCCUUCCUCCUCCAGCCCAGCUGCUGCAGUGUGGCAUGUUACGCUUACACUUCAUGGAGGAAAUGGAACUGGGGCUGCUCCAAUGUUCUCUUUUCAGGUUUUAAUGGAAGGUUCUGCAUUCAGCUGCACCAACACUGCUUGCAAACAAGAAAAGAACCGAGAGAGUGGAGAACACUGUGCAGGGACUUGGGUAUGGAUUCCAGGGAGUAUCUGGAAAUUCCCACCUCACAGGUCCAUCUCACCUGGUGGUUGUUCCUACUGAAAAAGGAUCCCGUGGUCCUGUGCCCUGAGGGCCACAAACAGCAUAAAUGUUCCAGAGCAGAGCCUGGAAGUGGGAGGGUACAGAGGGAAGACAUAAGAAGAUGGGGGUGGAAGCAUGAAGGGCAGUUCUAAAGUGUCUUGGGGAGAAUAGGAGAUAAAUUAGAUGAUAAUGCACAAGGCCAAGGGCAUGGCAAAAUAAGGAACCAAGAAGAAUGAAACCGAUUUGAUGAAGAUAAGGAUUAACAGUACACACAGUUAUGAAUAAAAGAUGCAUUAUGUAAUAAUUAGCAGGCAUCUAUAGGUUGGUGCAAAAGUUAUUGCGGUUUUUGCCAUUGAAAGUAAAUGCAAAAACUCGCGACUGCUUUUACAACAACCUAAUACAGCUUCUUUCACCAAGGAGCUUAAAUGUUUUAAAAUAAACAAAAUGUCGUUAUGCACCCUACCUCCCUCCGCAGUUUGGAGCCCUUCCUUUUCCAGAAUGAUGCAGCCCAGGUCCCCCUACCCUUUGUUCUCAGCAGCAAG
rnacentral:lncRNA from 1 species